rnacentral:lncRNA from 1 species
CAAAUAAAUCACUAAUGCCAUGAGCACAGAUGCCCAAAAAAUCAAUUGCAGCAUCAUGCUUUCUUUUCAAAACUCCUCUGUCCUAGUCCUUCAAAAUAUGGCUACCCUUGUUUUGGGGUUGCCACUGACAACCCUCCUUUCAAUUGCCUGGGAUGGAUCCUGGGGUGCCAAAUUGUAAUAGAGAGGAGGUCUUUAAAAAGGAAGGGACCAGAGAGCAGCUGUUUGGGGACUGAGUUCUGUGUAGCACUUUCUCUUUCUUCCACUAAGCUGUUAUCAAUGGAGUCAGUCAAUCAGUCAGACCAGAAGGUUCCCAGAAGUCUUCUUAUAAAUUGAUCUUAGAGACUUGAACCAGGCAAGAUGAUGCUACCUCACAGAGUUCUCUUUCAUGUCCACUCCUUCUGCUCUCAGGGAAUAAGGAAGGGAUCUCUUUCUAACAGAUCAUUCUUCUAGGUUCAGAACAGUCCAGUAUGAAUAUUAAUCAGAUUUAAGCCAGUUCUGCCCAGUGAGAUAUAAAUUAUAUUCAAGGAGUAAUUAAUAGUGAAGCUGAUGAUUGGUGAACCUGCUGCUCGAAGUGUGUGAUAAUAUGGAACAGAAGCAUCUUGUCUUCCUCUUCUGAGUACAGUAUGUAUUCUGUGACUAUUUCUUGUCUGCUGAUUGUAUAAUAAAGAGACUUUUUUGUACUUGGUGAUCGAGAACUGAGAAGGCACAUCAAAGACCCCAAAGGGGAAACUCCCUCUUUUUCCUUUUUGGUGACCACAAGAUGGAAAAAAAUGACCCUGUUAAUAGGACUGCAAAGAAGUACCUCAGAUUCAUUCAAAAUAGGAAUUUCCAGCACAGACUCUCAUCAGGCAGCUGCUUAUCUUUCCUGUAUCACAAAUCCCAAAGAGAAGCUUCCUCUGAAACAGUUCUCACACAAUAUCAGAGCUAGAAGGACAAAAAAAGUAAUAAUCCCUCUUUGCUAAGGCACCCUA